rnacentral:rRNA from 1 species
AAGCAGGGGAUCGUAAGACCUUGCGCUUUUGGAGCGGCCGAUGUCUGAUUAGCUAGUUGGUGGGGUAAUGGCCUACCAAGGCUUCGAUCAGUAGCUGGUCUGAGAGGACGGCCAGCCACACUGGGACUGAGACACGGCCCAGACUCCUACGGGAGGCAGCAGUGGGGAAUUUUGGACAAUGGGCGCAAGCCUGAUCCAGCCAUGCCGCGUGAGUGAAGAAGGCCUUCGGGUUGUAAAGCUCUUUCAGCCGGGAAGAAAAGGUUGCGAUUAAUAAUCGCAAUUCAUGACGGUACCGAAAGAAGAAGCACCGGCUAACUACGUGCCAGCAGCCGCGGUAAUACGUAGGGUGCGAGCGUUAAUCGGAAUUACUGGGCGUAAAGGGUGCGCAGGCGGUUUUGUAAGUCAGAUGUGAAAUCCCCGGGCUUAACCUGGGAACUGCGUUUGAAACUACAAAGCUAGAGU